GUGAGAUCGCAGCCAGCCUUCUUGUGUUCUAGAUUCCUGCAAGAAGAACCUGGAUAUGGCCUCAGGAAAGAUAGGGCUCCAGGCCUAGCAUAGAGCCCAACACCACACAUGAACUCACGACCUGAGAUGAUCAAGAUGAUCAAGACCUGAGAUGAGAUCGAGUCAGAUACUUAACUGACUAAGCCACCCAAGGUGCCCCUAAAUUCCCUGAAACUCUAAUUUAACAAUAAAAGCAUACGCACACUGAAACACAGCAUUUUAUCAUAAAUCAUUCUAAUUAUGUAAUUAAAAUAUGCACUUGAAUGGCUCUUGUCAUUUUUAUCUUUAGUUUCUUUUA
rnacentral:lncRNA from 1 species